rnacentral:rRNA from 1 species
GAUGAACGCUGGCGGCGUGCCUAAUACAUGCAAGUCGAACGCAUAGCGAAAGGUGCUUGCCCCUUUCAAGUGAGUGGCGAACGGGUGAGUAACACGUGGACAACCUGCCUCAAGGCUGGGGAUAACAUUUGGAAACAGAUGCUAAUACCGAAUAAAACUUAGUGUCGCAUGACACAAAGUUAAAAGGCGCUUCGGCGUCACCUAGAGAUGGAUCCGCGGUGCAUUAGUUAGUUGGUGGGGUAAAGGCCUACCAGGACAAUGAUGCAUAGCCGAGUUGAGAGACUGAUCGGCCACAUUGGGACUGAGACACGGCCCAAACUCCUACGGGAGGCUGCAGUAGGGAAUCUUCCACAAUGGGCGAAAGCCUGAUGGAGCAACGCCGCGUGUGUGAUGAAGGCUUUCGGGUCGUAAAGCACUGUUGUAUGGGAAGAACAGCUAGAAUAGGAAAUGAUUUUAGUUUGACGGUACCAUACCAGAAAGGGACGGCUAAAUACGUG